rnacentral:misc_RNA from 1 species
AAUAGCACUGGCACACACACUCUACACUCCAGCACGCCACGCCCAUCUAGGCAUACGCACACCGGAAGGGGGAGGGGCACAAGCACUUGCUUUAGAGACUGAGAGUACUCUAUGGGCAACCAACUCGCGGCGACGGCCGCCGUUGAUCUCGCCAAUGUAUCGGGUGAUCUGGAGCUCGUCGCCCCUCUCGGCGCAGAAGGCCGCAACUACUUUGCCACGUUCCACUGCCUUGCAUACACCCCAUUGACGGCACCAGCCAGCAAUGAGAAUCACGCGCGAGUGUCGAGCCACGGGGGCGCCGUGUCUUGCCCUCAUAACUCGAAUGCCCCUCAGUGCUUUUACGGCUUCAUUUCGGCGGAGGUUGGUGGCACUCCUAGCGGCAGCGGCGUCCGCCAUCAGAGGCCCGAGUACCGGCCCAACAACUUCUUCCGCGUUUCCCCAGUCCCCUUGCCAGGUGGGGCGUCUGCCGAUUCCUCGUCCCCAUGGGUGGUGCCAUCGCCGUGGGUGGCUGGACGUGGGCGAGGACGUGGACGAAGCUCAGGCGACGCCGGCGGAGGUGUCGACUUGUUUUAUGGCCUAAGCGACUCCGAGGCGAGCACAACACAGCUCCUGGCUCGCGAACGCGCCGCGUGGCAUCAAGCGCGGUGGCGCCAGCGUCUACCAAUGACCAACCGUCCGUGGCGUGCCGUACCGUCCUCGCUGCGGCCCGAUGUGGGAUUAGGGCGUGGCGCUGCCGCAGAUGCCGCGAUGAAUGGCUGGUGCCGUGACACACGCUCUAGCGCCAUGCCAGCCGCUGGUGGCAGCCACUACAGCAUUCUUUUCUCUAGCUCGAAUAGCAGCUUGCCGUAUGGCAGCGGCUUGGUGCCUGGUUCACCGGUACAGCAGAUGACGCUGCGGACUGCCACCCCGUCUCCGUACGCCACGGCGGUGUCGGCGAAAGCGGGCCGGACUCCAAACAUUGAUGUCCUGGUCGCCGGCGUGAACGGGGAGUGGCGGAGCAACUACGGCAACUACGUGCAGCUACUUCUGCGCAGAGGUGCCGGCGCUGGGCUCACGCCCUCCUCUGCAGUCGCUGCCUAUGGUGGUCUUCGCCCCACUUUACCCCCUGCACCAACGAGCGCCGGCCUGCUGUCGUCAUCGACGUCGCUUCAGCAGCGCUACCUGGUCGAGGACGUCGUCACCAAGGUGUUUGUGCGCACCCCUGACGAUCCCGGCCAGGCGUACUUCCUCAAAUAUGUGCACGAGAUGAUGGACAACGCCGGUGAGCAGCUGCGCAUUGUCGACUCGACACUGAAGCGCACGACUCCGCGCAACUGCCUGUGGUACAGCCUUGUCUGCGAGGGAGACGGCUUCUGUGUGCUGCAGCGACCCUACAUCGCCUUCACGCUUCGUGAGCGUCUCGUGGCCCGCCCUGUGUGGACGGCGCAGGAGAAGCUCUGUAUUGUCUAUCAGCUGUUAGAGGCGGUGGCGCGCCUGCACGAGACCUACGGCCUCACGCACGGCGACAUCAAACCGAACAACGUCCUCGUGCAGAGCACCGGCGUGCUGCUGCUGUCUGACAUGGCCCUUUUCAAGCCAUGCCAAAUGCCGCUCGACAGCCCGCUGCUGUUCGACUACUACUACGAUACGGACGAGAACAGGGCGUGCUACGUGGCUCCCGAGAAGUUCAGCGACCAGCCGCUGCCCACGCCACCGCCGGAGAGCAAGACGCGGGGCAGUGCAACCUACAAUGUGAGCAACGUCAACUUCGAUGGCCACACGGCCUCGAUGGAUGUCUUCUCGACGGCAUGCGUCGUGCUGUUCCUUUACAAGGAGGAAGAUCCGCUGACACUGUCGCAGGUGCUGAGCCUGCGUCACCUGGCCAACACCGAGGCACGCGAAGCGUUUGUGGCGCCCGUUUUGCGCGACGCCAACGUGCCCGCUGCGCUGCAUCCACUGCUGCUGCCGAUGCUGUGCGCCACCGCGGAGGAGCGACCGUCAGCGCGCGAGCUGGUGAACCGCGGGCUGCAACAGCGCAUCUUCCCUGCCUCGCUCCCUUACCUGUACGAGUCCGUGCUGCCUCGCCUCCUCACCACAUCUCCAGGCACGCGGCUGGUACUCCUCCACAACCAGCUUGAGGCGGUGCUGCAGAGAUGCGAGGUGCUAGACACGACGCCAGAAGGUAACGGUGGCAGGUCGUCGACGGCUGCGAUUGAUGCAGCGGCGUCCGCUGAAGCGGUGGGCGCCAAUGCAGCUGGCUUGGCGGCGGUCGCGUCCCCAUCUCGCCAGCUGGCCGUGUCUCUCCUUCUACCUCUUCUUCUUCAAACCUUGCACAGCAGCUGCACGAGCGACGAGGCGGCUUACCGCGGCCUGCUCUGCCUGCGCCGAUGCGCGUCGUACUGCAGCUUCACCUGCCUAGUGGACGCAGUGCUACCACACGUGCUCUUUUACGUGAACAACGAUGCCCACGUCUACGGACCGUCAACGCGCCUCAUUGCACUGCGGCUGCUCAGCUCCAUCUCGGAGGUCAUCGCGCAUCAUCUCACGCUCAGGUCGCCGCAGCGUUUGAGUGGCACCGUGACACCUUCGCGCGAUGCGGCCGCUGCGAAGCCCGGCGACACGGGAGAGGGCUCUGCCGUGCCAGAGGAGCAGUGGGCACUCAUGGAGCAUCUUGUGCUGCCGUGUCUGUACGGCGUCCUGCGGCAGGCGGAGCAGGAGUCCACGGCAGUGCUGGUGGAGGUGGCAAGUCGGCUGCCGCGACUGCUGCUCCUGUCACGCUACAUCACGGAGCGGCGGCAGCUCUUAUACGGGGCCGAUGCGGUGAUGACGAAGUCAACUACGUUUGAGAGUCGGCCUGGCCCGCAAGGGCACCGUGCCCGGCAACCGGAAGAUGCUGUGCACGAGCAGCAGAGUCACCACGACCCGCUGCACGCGAAACCGCGCCGCCAGGCCAGCCAGCAUCUCUCUCCGAACAAGGGAGGCGAGGAGGACCACAGGGUGAAGGCGGUGGCAGCGCCAGUCACGCCAAAUUCGACGUCGAUGCCACCAUCGCCGCUGCCGCCGCCCCGCAGCAGCAGUGACGCGCUGUACUUCAGCCCCACCGAUGUUGCCACCCUGAGCGAGCAGAGCAUCAGCGGUGGCACGCGGGCGAGGUUGGCUCCGGCGGCGCGCCACACUGAAGCUGGCAAGUCGGCGAACGAGGUGAGCGAUGCAGAUGGAGAGAAUGCAGGCGACGUGCACGGUGCCAGCGCUGCUGGCACGCAGCAGUACCUCGCCCAGCUCCACUGCCUCCUGACGAACGGCUGGAGCAUGUUGCAGAUACUGUACAACCAUCCAUGCGUCGCCGUCGUCGUGGAGGUCAUGCAGCGGUCUUCGAGCACCGUCGCCGCCUUUCUGGGUGAGGAGCGGGUGACAGAGGACUUAAUACCUCUCCUCACCACGGCCCUGACUGCGCCGCUGCGGGUGCAGAGGCUGCUCUAUUCACAAGCCAUCCUGCUGCACGCCCUGCUCCAGCGUCCGCCGACAAAGACGCUUCGGCUGUUUGUGGACGAAGGCCUGCGACACACGGACGACGUGUGCCUCAACAGAACCCUGCACAGUCUCGCAGUUGUGGUGCGCAGCCGAAGGCUGCCGCUGGAGGAGACGAUGGCACUUGUCCACCAGACCCUGCCGAUGCUGGUUGAGAGUCGUCUGUGGCUGCGCGAGGCGGCGUGCGGCGUCGUUGAGGCGGCUGCACAGACCUACUCGGCGAGCGACAUUGCACUGCAUCUCGAGUACGCCGUUCGACCGCUGCUGAUGCUUCCGGUGCCUCUGGCACACCUGCGCCGCUACGCCGCCACGGCCAUCCGGGCUGAGCUGGCUAUGCCGUUCAUGUCCUUAGGUGGCACGGCGGGGCCGACGCCGUGCAGCUACGUCAGCAGCGCGCCGUUGAGGGAAAGGGCGUCUGCCACCGGCUCAGCUUGCUUGCUAGACGAGGCCAUCCUCGAGGAUGAUGAGCCGAUGAACCGGUUGCUGGAAAAUGGCACUGGCAGUGGUGAUGGGCGACGCGGUCGCCCAGGGCAGUGCCGAGGCUUCGAGGACGGAGGAGGCAACGGAGGCAACUUCAAAGAUGUUUUGCCGGAGGUUGUGGCGGUGACUGACUCUUAUGCUUCCGCGCCGGCACCGGCGCUCUUGCACGGGCUCCCGCUGACUGAGGCUUCGUCGUCAUCUGCGCCAGGAUCGAGGAUGUCCCGUGAAGCGAGUAUUGCGGAGCCUGCAGUGACCGCCCAGCACAGCCGCAGCGCCACCGACACGUGCAUAGUUGCCGAUGAUGGCGGUGACUCGGACGGCAUGGCACUUGUCUACCGGCCCACCGCGCGAGAGGUUGCGCGGGUGCAGCUUGAAAGCCGCUCUGGGCCGCUGCACCUCCCAGCUUCUUCCGCGCUGCUGUCACCGCCUCCGUCGGGUCUGACCUCCUCCCAUGUGGUCGCCCCAUCCACGGCAACGAGCAGUGGCGCUGCGGCCGCGGCGGCGUUGCCAGUGCAGGAUUGCCAACUCCCGACUCCGCCGCACAGCAGGGACGUAUCGCCGCUGCCCGCCACGCUGCCGCCGCCCUCGGGCGUGAUUCGGUGCAGCCUCAAAGGCGGUGGUGGGCGCGUUUUGCACGGCCGAGUGACACCGCCCUCCCUGACCUCACCAGCGGCGGCGGCUAGUACCGCGGUACCGCCGUCCUCCUCAGCACCUUGCUCGGCGUUGCGGCCCACUGCCGCUGCACUCAGCUCCGUCAGCGCUCACAUGGGGGCCAUCUAUGCAGCGGCGCCCUCGCCGUCAGCCAACGGGAUCGUGAUAUCGGCCGGGGCACGAGGUGAAGCUUUUGUGUGGCAGGUCGCCGCGUCGCACACGAGCACAGCUCACGCGCGCGAGCUGUGCUUGGUGGAGCGAGUCGCGUCGGCGGCGUCUGAGGCGGGGGUGCACACCUACACGGCGUGCCAGUGGAUCGGUGGGCCAGGUCAGCGGCGAGACUUCACGCUCUCCUCCGCGUCCGCCUCGGCUUCCGGCUCGCUGGUGGCCUUUGCGAGCACCGAUAGUGCGGUGAGGGUGCUGGACGUGGAAAAAAAUGCGUGGGUGUCGUCCACCGUUGUCGGUGGCACUCCGGAGGGCGGGCUGACCGGGCUGGCGUUGCAGGAUCGAGCAUCGCUGCUUGUGACGACCGCGGCUGGCGGCCUUCACGUUGUGGACACGCGGUGCCGAGGCAGGGGCCGUGCAGACGAGGAGCCAGCCGUGGGCUCGACCGCCUCAGUGUGGCACACCCGACUCAACCCACUCGACGGUGCACCGAGCUGCGUGUGCCCGCUCUACAUGAGCGACAGAGCGUGCGCCGCAGCCGUCGGCACCUACGGCGGCGCCGUGUGCCUGUACGACUUGCGUUAUCAACUGUGCGCGCAACGGGUUAUCCUUGUCGAUGACGGGGCAGGACUAACGUCAGCGUCGGCUCUUGCUUCAGGGCGGCUGUCCAUCACGACGGCGUGCGUGGAUCCUUUGUCUACGCUAUGUCGGAGCUGCCGUCCAUCGUCAUGGGAGCCGGAGCCGGCGGCGGGGCCGAGUCUGCUUCUCGGCACCACCGGGGGCACGGUGUAUCGCCUCCUCCUCCAGAGCGCCAGCUACUGGCCUGCGUUUCAGUGUUGCCGCAACGGUGGCGGUGCCGUACGCACAAUGCUGACGCAGCCCACGCACGGCUGCGUCUUCACCGGCAGCGAGGACGGGUAUAUUCGGAGCUGGUCGACCGACCGCCCAGAGACGUCUCAUACUCUGGUGUGCGGGCUGUACCGAUCCCCGGCAUACACCGUGGAGCGUACCGGCGCCGCGGAGCGGGCGCUGGCAGCGAAUGCUGUGCGUGGCGACGCAGUUGCCCCACCGGGCAGCAACGGCAGCAAGGGUCUUGCUUCCCUCACCGUGCGCGAAGGCAGCGACAUCCACCACGGCGGCUGCGCUCUUCCGCGACACGCCCCGGAUGCGAUCCUCGCCUUGUGUGCUGUGCGCACGACCACCGCGUCCUUGGCGUCUUGGGGCUCCAGCAACAGUGGCAGCGGUGGAGGAGGGGAGCCAUGCUAUCUGCUCUCCGGAUCCCGCGACGGCACGCUAACGCUAUGGGACAACGACCCUGGACAGCCCUAAAGAGAGGCGAGAGCGAGGGGUUGAGAGUGGUGUGUCUGUGCUUGUGCGCGCUUUUUCCGGUUUACCGGUACGUGCUGCCGCUGUCGCCGCCAUCCCUCUGCAAACGCGACCUCGACGCUCCCUUUACGCCCCUCCCCCCACAUUGCACGUCUCCUUUACUGAAAAGACGACGCAGUCGCCACCAACUCCCGCUUUUCCUGCGUGCCGUAGCUCAUGCUGAUGGGGGAGGCAGCGAGAGAGAGAGAAAGAGCGUGCGUGCACGGUGUGACCGGGAUGCCGUAUCUGCUUUCCGCCAUUGUGUUCGUCUGUUUCUGUUCUGUGUGACCACGCUGCUUUUCGGUG